rnacentral:rRNA from 1 species
GGAUCGGAGGGGCUUGCUUCUUUGGUUAGUGGCGAACGGGUGAGAAACACGCGAGUAACCUGCCCUUCACUCUGGGAUAACUCCGGGAAACCGGGGCUAAUACUGGAUAUGACCUGCUCGGGCAUCCGAUGUGGGUGGAAAGAUUUAUUGGUGGGGGAUGGACUCGCGGCCUAUCAGCUUGUUGGUGAGGUAAUGGCUUACCAAGGCGACGACGGGUAGCCGGCCUGAGAGGGCGAUCGGCCACACUGGGACUGAGACACGGCCCAGACUCCUACGGGAGGCAGCAGUGGGGAAUAUUGCACAAUGGGCGAAAGCCUGAUGCAGCGACGCCGCGUGAGGGAUGAAGGCCUUCGGGUUGUAAACCUCUUUCAGCAGGGAAGAAGUGGCCGGGUUUUCUCGGUUGUGACGGUACCUGCAGAAGAAGCACCGGCUAACUACGUGCCAGCAGCCGCGGUAAUACGUAGGGUGCGAGCGUUGUCCGGAAUUAUUGGGCGUAAAGAGCUUGUAGGCGGUUUGUCGCGUCUGCUGUGAAAUUUCGGGGCUCAACCCCGAACUUGCAGUGGGUACGGGCAGACUAGAGUGUGGUAGGGGAGACUGGAAUUCCUGGUGUAGCGGUGAAAUGCGCAGAUAUCAGGAGGAACACCGAUGGCGAAGGCAGGUCUCUGGGCCACUACUGACGCUGAGAAGCGAAAGCAUGGGGAGCGAACAGGAUUAGAUACCCUGGUAGUCCAUGCCGUAAACGUUGGGAACUAGGUGUGGGUCUCAUUCCACGAGGUCCGUGCCGCAGCUAACGC